rnacentral:rRNA from 1 species
GACGAACGCUGGCGGCGUGCUUAACACAUGCAAGUCGAACGGAAAGGCCUUUUCGGAGGUACUCGAGUGGCGAACGGGUGAGUAACACGUGGGUGAUCUGCCCUGCACUCUGGGAUAAGCCUGGGAAACUGGGUCUAAUACCGGAUAGGACCGCACUUUAGUGUGUGUGGUGGAAAGUUUUUUCGGUGUAGGAUGAGCCCGCGGCCUAUCAGCUUGUUGGUGGGGUAAUGGCCUACCAAGGCGGCGACGGGUAGCCGGACUGAGAGGUUGGUCGGCCACAUUGGGACUGAGAUACGGCCCAGACUCCUACGGGAGGCAGCAGUGGGGAAUAUUGCACAAUGGGCGCAAGCCUGAUGCAGCGACGCCGCGUGGGGGAGGACGGCCUUCGGGUUGUAAACUCCUUUCGCCAGGGACGAAGCGUUUUGUGACGGUACCUGGAGAAGAAGCACCGGCUAACUACGUG